CCUGUCCUACGGGACGCAGCAGUAGGGAAUCUUCCACAAUGGGCGAAAGCCUGAUGGAGCAACGCCGCGUGGGUGAAGAAGGUCUUCGGAUCGUAAAACCCUGUUGUUAGAGAAGAAAGUGCGUGAGAGUAACUGUUCACGUUUCGACGGUAUCUAACCAGAAAGCCACGGCUAACUACGUGCCAGCAGCCGCGGUAAUACGUAGGUGGCAAGCGUUAUCCGGAUUUAUUGGGCGUAAAGCGAGCGCAGGCGGUCGCUUAGGUCUGAUGUGAAAGCCUUCGGCUUAACCGAAGCAUUGCAUCGGA
rnacentral:rRNA from 1 species